CCUUUCUCGUACACCAAGUGUACUGGAAAGGCUAUAUGUUCACUCCAAAAAUGACUUUUUGAUAGAAGGCCCGGAGGGUCGAGUCACAUAUACCAAUCGACUCAGCUCGACGAAUUGAGGUGAUGUCUGUGUGUGUGUGUGUGUGUGUGUGUGUGUGUGUGUGUGUGUGUGUGUGUGUGUGUGUGUGUGUGUGUGUGUGUGUGUGUGUGUGUGUGUGUGUGUGUGUGUGUGUGUGUGUGUGUGUGUGUGUGUGUGUGUGUGUGUGUGUGUGUGUGUGUGUGUGUGUGUGUGUGUGUGUAUGUGUGUGUGUGUAUGUGUGUGUGUGUGUGUGUGUGUGUGUGUAUGUGUGUGUGUGUGUAUGUGUGUGUACAGAAAAACUCACAUCACUUUUUGGCAUUAAACCUCAACCGAUUUUAUUGACCGACGGUUCAUUCGACGCGGAAUCUGGUCCCAUUGUUUCCUAUUGAAAAUGGUUCAGAUCGGUCCAGCCGUUCCGGAGUUAUGGCCAUUUAGGUGUUCCGGACCGGUACCCCAGGAAGGGGCCAGAUAUGAAAACGGUACAAACCCAUCCAUGCGGUACAUCAAACUACGGCAUUUUCGAUAACUUGAUGAAUGGUGCGCAGAAAAAUAGUCUCAGACCAUAUCUGAACCGGUAGUGUCCCGGAACCGGUUCCGGGUGUCCCGCCGUAAGUGACCAAACAUAAAAGUGAACUAAACCCAUGCAUGCGACGUAUCAAACCGCGGCUUUUUCGAUAACGUGGUGAACAGUAAGCAGGAAAACAUUCUCAGACCAUAUCGGAACCAGUAGUGUUCCGGAACCGGUUGCAAAUGUCCCGCCGGAAGUGGCCAAGUAUUAAAGUUAACCAAACCCAUGCAUGCGACAUAUCAAAUAGUGUCUUUUUUGAUAUCCUGAUGAACAGUAAGCAGGAAAAUAUUUUCAGAACAUAUCUGAAUCGGUUGUGAUCCAGAACCGGUUCCGGGUGUCCCGCCGGAAAUGGCCAAAUAUAAAAGGGAACCAAACCCAUGCAAGCGACACAUCAAAUCGCGGAUUUUAAGGCAUCUUGAUUUAACAAAAAAAAAGUUUCCGGCCAUAUUGGGGACAACCGGUAGUGUUCCGCAACCGAUUACGGUUGUCCCAUCGGAAGUGGUCAAAUGUAAAGGAGAACCAAACCCAUAAAUUCGACACAUUUAAUGACUUUUUAGGUAAGCUGAUGAACAUUAACAAAAAAAAACAUAGACCAUACUUUGGAAAACCAAUAGUGUGCCGAAACCGGUUCCAGGUGCCCCGACGGAAGUGGUCAAAUGUAGAAAAAAACCAAACGCAUACACGCAGCACACUAAAUAACGGCUUCUUCGAUAACGCGAAGAACGGUCAGCAAGAAAAUAGUCUCAGGUCAGUAGUGUUCCGGAACCAGAUUCGAGUGCCUCGCCGGAACUGGCGAAAUGCACGAAUGAACCAAACCCAUACAUGCAUUACAUCAAUUUGCGACUUUUUAGGAGAACUGAUUAAUAAUUUGCAUGAAACUAGUCUAAGACCACAUCAGGGACAA